GCUUCUUUGGUGUUCUUUGAUUCUGAUUGAAAGGUCUAUUGAUGUUUCGUCGAUGUAGACACUAUUGCAGUUGAGGCAGAGAAUUUGGUAAACUAAAUCUUUUUUCUGUUUCUGGUCGCUGCUUUGGGUUUCUUAGAAUCGAGGCCAUGGAAGGUGAACCUCUAAAGAUGGUUUUUAUGCCAAAACUUUUAAGUUUGCGGGCUAUUGUAAUUGUAGAUUCUGUAUAUGGUAAGUAACAGGUGGAGAUGUAAUGAUUGGAGUUAUUUCUGGGAGUCCCUGGUUUAUAUCUAUUUCUUUUAAUGAAAGGAAGCGGGUAUCCAGAUUUAAGAAGCUGGUUUUCGAUAAAAUUAAGUUCAUUAUUGUAUUCUAUUUUUGAUGAACAGUGGGUGAAGGCUCUUUUCGUCAAGGUACGUACAACUGUUAUUUUGUGGGAGAUGGGAGAAUUGGAGGCAAAAUAUAGGUACUGCGUUGGGGAGGUAGGUUUUCUAUAAACUUUUGUUGUAAAACCGGUUCUAUUUCUGGUAAAAAAAUGUCAAGGAAUGGCAGGCUUCUUUUAUUUUAUUUUUAUAUUGUAAAUUGAAUAGAUGAGUUAAAGCUAUUGAGGGUUUCUAGGAGGUGAUUUUCAUUGUUUUCUGUGAUUAUGCAAAAGAUAUCAUCGACGUACCUUGACCAGAUCAAUAUUUCGUUGGGUUUUGCUACAGUGAUCCAUGAGUCAAUGGUGGAGAGAACUAUUUCUGCUAGAAUUUUAGAGAGUGGGCUUCCCAUCGGUGUGCCUUUUAUUUGGUUGUAGUAUUCUCCUAUAAAUUUAACUGUUGUGCUCUUUAAACAGAUUUCGGUAAGUUUCAGGAUUGCAAGGUGGUCCGGGUAUGCUUUUUUAUGUUUGAUUAGGAUGGUUUGUAGGGAGUCCAUUAUCGAAUGGGGAACUGCAAUCUUUUAAAAUGCAAAGGAGAAUGUUUAUCAUCAUGAAUCAGAGGAAUCCGGGGAAUAAAAACAUCUUCAUUUUGAAAACAACCAGUCAAAAUGGUUGCCUCUACCACAUGAGGCCACAAUCUUUUAACACAGAGACGGGUACCAUUGCAAAGGCGGGGUGCAUCAAUAUUUCGUCAUCAAAUAUAUACGUAUAUUUUGAAAAGAGAGCAAUCCAUAGAUAAAUCUUUAAUUAAAAAGGCAUAUAUUGGAUCAAAAACUUAUUUAUUUUACCAAUAUUUCAGCUGGCUGAACGCCAACCUUUAUCAAGGUGUUAUAACAUUUUAAAGUGUGUCAACAACAAACUCAGCGCCACAUAACGUGAACAGCAUUAAGUUUUUAAAAUAUUUUUAAUUUUUAAUAUUUAAAAUUUGAAAUAACAAAAUAUUUUAAAAACUUAAUGCUGUUGACGUUAUGUGGCGCUGAGUUUGUUGUUGACACACUUUAAAAUGUUAUAACAUCUUGAUAAAGGUUGGCGUUCAGCCAGCUGAAAUAUUGGUAAAAUAAAUAAUUUUUUGAUCCAGUAUAUGCCUUUUUAAUUAAAUAUAUGUAUAUAGAAAGAAUUAUGAAAAUAAUAUAUCACUCAAACAACAACAACAAAAAAGACUAAAAUAGCAUUUAAAAAAAAAUUAUUCAUGACAACACAGAAGAAUACACAAAAUUUGAAGUCUUAUUUUCUGGAGUCAAAACAUAAAGAUUUCUUCCUGAGCCAACUCUAGAGCAGGCAACAUACAAUUGCCCAUGCGAGAAACAGGGUUGCUCCAAGUCAAUGCCAGCAAUUUUGAGGGACUGACCUUGAGCCUUGUUAAUCAACAUGGCAAUAGAAACUCGAAUGGGGAACUGCAAUCUUUUAAAAUACAAAGGAGAAUGUUUAUCAUCAUGAAUCAGAGGAAUCAGUGGAAUAAAAACCUCUUCAUUUUGAAAACAACCAGUCAAAAUGGUUGCCUCUACCACAUGAGGACACAAUCUUUUAACACAGAGACGGGUACCAUUGCAAAGGCGGGGUGCAUCAAUAUUUCUCAAUAAAAUAAUGGGAACACCAACUCUAAGUUCUAAGUGAUGUGGUGGCAUCCCAGAAGGUUCUAAAGAAUUUAAAAACUCUGUUGUAUAUUCCACGCAAUCCUCAGCAUCAAUGGUGGAAUCCACAGAAGUAUAUAAAAUGCUUUGUCCUGGUAUUUCUUUCAAAAGCUGAGCAUUUAUGGCAUCAUCUACACAAUUCCUUGGAGCCAAAAUUGCCCGCUCACAAAGCCAAGGAUAGUAAUUCGCCCUUCUCCGGUUAAACAUCUCCCCAAUGUUAGGAAAAACACUUUUCUUUAGACCAGAGAGGGAGUCACACACACACAACAGUGUUAACCAAUUCAUUUGAAAAAUUAACAUUACCAUCCGUAUCAUUAAGUUGGCCACUUCCAAGUUGAAGCAAAAAUUGUGAAAAUAACAGUGAGUUAGGAUCUCCUUAAUUGACAGCCCGCAUAUUUGUUGAAAGAGUAAGUCUUUCAACAAAUGACCAAAGUGGGGAUUCCUUUAAGCAAGCAUGCAACUCAUCUGCUAUUGUACCUCUAGGAAUAAUGGGCAAUAUCUGCCUAUAGUCACCGGCCAACAACAACACUACACCUCCCAUUGGUCUCUGAUCCUGCCUACAAUCUUUAAGUUUUAUGUCAACUGCCUCUAAAGCAUGCCUGUGUGCCAUAGUACAUUCAUCCCAGACAAUACAUUUGCAUUGUCUAAGAACUUCGCCCAUUGCGGAAUCAGCAUUCAAAUUACAAACUGGUACCUCAUCCCUGGUCAAAUCUAAGGGUAAUUUGAAAGUCGAAUGAGCAGUUCUGCCACCAUUCAACAGAGUAGCCGCAAUACCAGAAGAAGCUGUAGAAAGAGCAAUGUCCCCAGUACUUUGUACCUUUGUAAGAAGAAGAUUGAUCAGAAAAGUUUUUCCUGUGCCCCCCGGAGCAUCAAGAAAGUACAAUCCGCCAGCAUUGAAAUCAAUUUUAGAAAGGAUCCUUUUGUAAGCCUCCUUUUGUUCAGGGACAUUGGCAAGUUUCGGUUCAUUCGAAGCCACAAAUUGUAGUAACCUGCUGAGAUCAUACGAUGUUUCUCUUAAAAGUUCAUGACUGGUUCGUUGAGUAACAUUGCGCUGUGGGGACCUCAUGCCAAACUUUGUCAAAUGGAAACCCGUCAUUUGCAGAGCUUUUUGUUCUAAAGGUAUUAAAGCCCGAUUUGAUAUUUCGUAUGUCAGCUGUAAAAGACCGUCAUUGGCUUGCUGUCUGGCAAGAUUCAGAAUAUCUGCAGACAUUGGUUCUUUAAAUUGUGCCCAGAUAUCUUGAGGGUUGGUAGGGUGGCAGCAGGUAAGAAUAAUAGCAAAAGGUUCCCGGAUUUUUAAAGGAGACUCACUUAGCACUGCUUCCUGAAUACAAUGAUGCCAUUGCUGGUCAUUCUCAAGCAAUCCCAAAUGCAGACAUGCCUCUUUAUAUGUUUGACAGAGCACACCAUUGAUUGUUCUGAGGGCUGCAAAAGAAGUCGGACCACGAACACUAUGAAGCAGCAUGCGAAGAUAAAAAACAUUCCUCAAAAUUUGGAUGAACGGUGUAGACUCUGCCAAUAGCAUCAGAAGCAAAAGCAACUUGGUCAGCAAUGCGAGUGCCUUGUUUUCGAGGCUGCCAUGAUUUAGAAGCAGACCAAAUGUAGUAAACAGGAACUUCAACAUAGAGAAGUGUUUUUGCAAAGUUAUCGCGCUGGCAAAGGACAAAAAAUUCUGUCAACGUGGUCUUAGGUGGACGGCGAGCCUGUAGUGUAGUAUUAGCAGAAGUAAAAUAUACACGCUGCCCAUUUUCCAAGUGUACAGAGAGAUGUUGAACCAUUGGAUGGCGUCUGUGAAUAGGGAAUCCCAGAAUGCGCCAAACAGCUUCAUUGCUACUAAUAUAUCGACCAUGUUGGUACUCUAGCACUUCAUUAGACUCUGUUUGAGUACCAGUAACUGCAAAAAUGGAUUGGUCUGAACCCUUGUAUAUGUAUUUGCAGAUAUAUUUUAUAGCAGAGAUUGAAGCACAGGACUCCACAUUGGUGUGAGCAUCAAAUAGUCUGCAUAGAAGAGGCGAAUAUGGCACAACAUACCUAUUAUCAAUGGUAACAUUAGUCAUGCGAACAACCUGAACACCAUUCUCAAUGGUGAAAACUCUCACUCUUUUAACAAAAGAAAGCCACCUUCCUCAGGCCUGCGACGUUUGUACAAUGGGUAGCCAUCCCUAUCUGUCUGCGUUUCAGCCAAGAGUAGCCGUGGAUAUUUCUUUUGGCAUCUACCCCGUUCCAUGCAGCCAGGAUUAGGAUACCCAUGUCCACAUGGCCCAUGAAUCAUAUUUUUGGUUACAGUCCGAAACAGUGAAGCAUCAACCUCCUCAUUGGGGAUUUCAGCACAAAUGAUCGAAUCAAUCUGGUUUGGGCGAAUCUUUUCUUUAAGCCACAAUAAAAUAUGCGCAUGUGGUAGCCCUCGCUUUUGCCAUUCAAUUGUAUAACACCAACAUUGGGGCUUGCCAAAAACAUCACCUUUGGUGAUCAAAUCUAUAAGCUUGGUAACUUUAUAUUGAAAAUGCGAGCAACCAAGUCAUGCCGAACAAAUGCACCUUGGGUGGGGAAUUGCAUUAGUUUUAUCUCAGGCCACUCAGGAUUGCAUGUAAAUGUAAUAAAAAGGUCUGGGCGACCAUAUUUACGGACGUAAGCCAUGCAAUCCUGGGCAUACUCAUGCAUGUGCCUUGGACUGCCCACAAAGGAAGAAGGAAGAAUAACUUGUCUUUCAAUAAGGGCAUGACUCCUGUCAGUGCGAAUAGCAUCUAACAGAUUGAUGUAUUCGGUUGCACGAAGUUGAGCUUGAUGCGCUGAGAUGUAAUGCAGCCUUUCAGAUUCCACCUCUUGGCAUAAAUGUCGACCAGAAUUUGAUGGGUCAAAUCUCCAAAAGUCAGUAACCAAUUUGUUAUGCCAGGUUUACGGCUACGAAUCAUUAGCAGUGAAGCAUAAAAAUCCAUGCAAGAAACCGUCUUGUGCGCCGAAGGAACCCCAUCAAUCAGCUGAGGGAUAUGGAAAUGAUAACCGUCUUGACCAUUUCAAAAAACCAAUGGGUAUUGCAGGGCGCCAUAAUACCUGUGAAACUCGUUAAUCCUCUGCGCACCACUGCCUCUUUUGGAAAGAACAAUGUCACAUCUGUCACAGUUUUCCUGCACAAUAACAAUGGCAACCUCAUUAAUGGUUGGAGCAUUGAAUGUGCGAGGAUGGUGUCCAGGCGGUGCUUUGUCAGCCUUAAUGACCAACUUGUAAUCAGGAGAAGGCAUUUUUUCUAUGGAAGCUUUGAACAAAUGGACAUAAGGAUUAUGUCGAUGCAACAUAUCUUGCAAAAUGCUAACAAUGUGGGGCUUAGUGAUGGGAAAGUUUCUAUGGCGGGUGGCAACCUCUGCGCUACUAUCUCCGAUGAAGAAAACUUGAAGGAAUGCUGGCUGUAGUUGGCGGCUAUCAAAGUUGAGUGGUGGCAAAACAGAGCCAAUUCUAUGAUAGAUCUGGCCUUUACCUUAAACGUUGGCAUGUUACCUGGCAACACAACACGACUACCACACCCAAAAAAUGUCAUUUGGAUGGCAUUGUUAUAGUAACGGACACGUUGCAUGAACUCAGCCGAGUGAGGAGAAGACCCAUCGAGCAGAGUUCUGAGAGCUUCUGGGGGUUCAGGUAAAUCAGGAAUUCUGACCUUCCCUGCAAAACAGCACAUUCCAGGCCGCUCACCAUUGUACUUAAAGGCAGUACAAUGCAGACAUUGUUUAUCCAUAUGGCCAAUCUGAAGAAAAGUAAAUUGUUCAUAAUUCAGGGCCGGAUUGUAAUGGAAAGCAGCAUUGAGCAUAUCAGCCCAAGUGCUAGCUCGUUGCCUGAAAUACCGCAGCUGGUCAGCCUCCUGUCGUGUUUGGACUGCUGGGGAGUCUCUGAUGCGCGUUGAACUCUGUUGCGCAGCCGGUCACUUUGGAGACGGGCUUGAGACUGUUGGGGAUUCUCUGAUGCGCGUUGAACUCUGUGGCGCAGCCGGUCACUUUGGAGGCGGGCUUGAGACUGUUGGGGAUUCUCCAAUGUGCGGCUACUUUGGCCUCUAGCAGCUCGGGCAGCCAUGCGUCGCAUAUUGCCAGGCAUAUCAAGUGGGAUGAUUCAAUUUGAAAAUAUGUUCUAAAAAACAGAAAUAGCACAAUCAGUACCAAAAAUAUUUUUGUAUAUAUAAAAAAAAAGCUUUUAAGGAAAACAGUGCAGACCCAAAACAAAUCCAAAGUAUCAGAAUAAGUUACAGAACAAAACAGAUUAUCUAGUAGAAAUUUUUAAGUUUGUAAAUAUCAAAACUACAUUGUUCACUAACCAUAACUUGGUAACUAAAACAAAUUUCUCUCUCAACAUUUCAGCAGAAAAAAAAAUACGGCUAAAAAAACUAAUGGCAAAACAUGUCAAACAGGUCAAUCUUUAGAAUGCUCAACUAUUUUUUUCCCUAACCUAAUAUCUGCGUAGACAAAAAGAAAGCAGCAUAAUAGAACUACCACAAACAAAAUAUACAGAAAUGGCAAGCGAAUAAAAUAAAUGACAACAACAGACUAAAUUUAAAAAUAUCAAUGAAACAUAUGCUUUUUUUAAAAGAAUAACAAAACAAAGGCCAUUACAACAAUUAAAAAACAUAAGCCCAUUGUUUAUAUACAGUAAUAAAAGUUUGUAAAUAUUGUCAAAUCUGCAUUGUUUACUAACCCUAACUUUGUAAAAUGUAGUGCCCUAUCAACAUGUCAGAAAAAAAUAAUAAUACUAAAAAAAAAACUAAUGCCAAAAUAGCCAUGUUAAUAUUUUAGGCUGAUAAAAACCAAAGGGUAUAUGGAUUAUAGACACAACACAUGUUUUGGCUGUUAAAUGAGACAGUAAUUCAUAUUAAAUUUUCACUACUGUAUUUUUUGCAUAUUGACUAUUGUUUGUUUAAUUUUAAGAAUUAUCAUAUUGACUGUAAAAAAAAAACAAAGGCCAGAACAAAAAUUAAUAAAAAAUAAGAAAGCCAUUGUUUACAUACAGUACUGAGACUCCUAUGGACGAUCUUCCCAGAAAAUCGUUCAAAGCGCUGGAAGAUUGAUUUGACUCUAACUUGCGAUCUGUGUAAAAACAGAAUCCAAUACGAAAUUAUGCAUAUAAUAUUUGGAUGCUCUUGCUUAGAGAAACAGAGGAAAGAAAUUUUGGGUGACUUACCCUGGUCUCAACCUGACUGCCAACAAAUUUGCAGCUGGAUGAACACACUGAUGGUUGAUCAGGGUCUCUCCCUCGGUUUAUAUAAAUUCUACAAGGCCGCAGUCAAUGUCCGUUGGAGAAUAAUGGAUUCGCCGAAUGUCGUGGUUUGCUUGGAGGAAGAAGGCGAAGAUUGAACGCGGCUGAUUUCACACUAGCCCUCUCAAUGAUAUCCUAACCUUGACAUAUCCUAAACAUUGGUAUUUUAAUUUAAAUAUUUAAUCAUGUAUGGUUCCUUUUGCUCUGUAUGUUUAUUUUUUUGUAUAUAUGGUUAUAUUUAUUUUUGUUUGUUUUUUUUUCUUUCUUCUCUCUUUUCUUUUUCCUUAUUACCUCUUGUAUUCUAGUUUUUACUUUUGAAACAUCUUCCUUUGCUAAAUCCUGUAGAGGGGAAUCAUGUAUAGGGCUGGAUGCCCCAAUAAAAAGGCUUGUGUGUGUGUGUGUUUACAUACAGUAACGCUAAUUUUGUAAAGUUUUUUUUUUUAAUUGUGUGAAAUUUCGCAUUGUUUGAACUUACCUUAACUUAGUAAUAUAAAUUUCUCUCUCAAUACUUUUGUAGAAAAAAGUGACACUCGUAUAAAAAUAUAUUUUAAAAAAAGUACGCAAACAACUUGAAAAGAAAUGCAGAACGCUCAUUUUUCGCUUAAUUGGCCUCGUGUUGUUAUUUUCCCUCGUAUUUACUCCGCGUAAGCCUCGUAUUUACUCCGCGUAAAAAAAGUUCUUCAAAUGAAAAAAGAAAUAGCCAAAAAUACUAAGCAAAAUGUAGCCGAAAUUUUUCCUCAG